rnacentral:rRNA from 1 species
GACGAACGCUGGCGGCGUGCCUAAUACAUGCCAGUUGAGCGAUGAAGCUUGGUGCUUGCACCAAUUUGAAGAGCAGCGAACGGGUGAGUAACGCGUGGGGAAUCUGCCUUUGAGCGGGGGACAACAUUUGGAAACGAAUGCUAAUACCGCAUAAUAACUUUAAACAUAAGUUUUAAGUUUGAAAGAUGCAAUUGCAUCACUCAAAGAUGAUCCCGCGUUGUAUUAGCUAGUUGGUGAGGUAAAGGCUCACCAAGGCGAUGAUACAUAGCCGACCUGAGAGGGUGAUCGGCCACAUUGGGACUGAGACACGGCCCAAACUCCUACGGGAGGCAGCAGUAGGGAAUCUUCGGCAAUGGACGAAAGGCUGACCGAGCAACGCCGCGUGAGUGAAGAAGGUUUUCGGAUCGUAAAACUCUGUUGGUAGAGAAGAACGUUGGUGAGAGUGGAAAGCUCAUCAAGUGACGGUAACUACCCAGAAAGGGACGGCUAACUACGUG